CAAAGGCUUGGUCCUGACUUUACUAUCAACUCUGACCAGAUUUACACAUGCAAGUCUCCGCACCCCCGUGAGAAUGCCCAUAGUUUUCUAUUCGAAAACAAGGAGCUGGUAUCAGGCACACCUCCCAACUGGUUGCCCACGACGCCUUGCUUAGCCACACCCCCAAGGGAGUUCAGCAGUGAUAAACCUUAAGCCAUAAGUGAAAACUUGACUUAGUUAAGGCCACCUAAAUUUAGGGCCGGUAAAACUCGUGCCAGCCACCGCGGUUAUACGAGAGGCCCAAGUUGAUAGACACCGGCGUAAAGCGUGGUUAGGAGCCCCCCAUCAUUAAAGCCGAACGCCCCCAGAACUGUCAUACGUUCCCGAGGGUAAGAAGCCCACCUACGAAAGUGGCUUUAUCCCAUCCGACCCCACGAAAGCUGCGAAACAAACUGGGAUUAGAUACCCCACUAUGCCCAGCCCUAAACCUUGAUAACACACUACACCCGUUAUCCGCCAGGGAACUACGAGCACCAGCUUAAAACCCAAAGGACUUGGCGGUGCUUUAGAUCCACCUAGAGGAGCCUGUUCUAGAACCGAUAACCCCCGUUGAACCUCACCCUCCCUUGCUCUUACCGCCUAUAUACCGCCGUCGUCAGCUUACCCUGUGAAGGAUUCAUAGUAAGCAAGAUUAGCACAGCCCAAAACGCCAGGUCGAGGUGUAGCAUAUGAGAGGGGAAGAAAUGGGCUACAUUCCCUGCCCCAGGGAACACGAACAAUGUUACUGAAAAGUAUAUUAGAAGGAGGAUUUAGCAGUAAGCAGAAAAUAGAGUGUUCAGCUGAAACCGGCCCUGAAGCGCGCACACACCGCCCGUCACUCUCCCCAAACCAGCAUCUAUCGAUUCCUAAUGCCCAUUCUUGGUAAAGGGGAGGCAAGUCGUAACAUGGUAAGUGUACCGGAAGGUGCACUUGGAAAAC
rnacentral:ncRNA from 1 species